CGAAGGGGGCUAGCGUUGCUCGGAAUUACUGGGCGUAAAGGGAGCGUAGGCGGAUAGUUUAGUCAGAGGUGAAAGCCCAGGGCUCAACCUUGGAAUUGCCUUUGAUACUGGCUAUCUUGAGUACGGAAGAGGUAUGUGGAACUCCGAGUGUAGAGGUGAAAUUCGUAGAUAUUCGGAAGAACACCAGUGGCGAAGGCGACAUACUGGUCCGUUACUGACGCUGAGGCUCGAAAGCGUGGGGAGCAAACAGGAUUAGAUACCCUGGUAGUCCACGCUGUAAACGAUGAGUGCUAGUUGUCGGCAGGCAUGCCUGUCGGUGACGCAGCUAACGCAUUAAGCACUCCGCCUGGGGGAGUACGGUCGCAAGAUUA
rnacentral:rRNA from 1 species